UGGGGAAUUUUGGACAAUGGGCGAAAGCCUGAUCCAGCAAUGCCGCGUGUGUGAAGAAGGCCUUCGGGUUGUAAAGCACUUUUGUCCGGAAAGAAAUCCUUGGCUCUAAUACAGUCGGGGGAUGACGGUACCGGAAGAAUAAGCACCGGCUAACUACGUGCCAGCAGCCGCGGUAAUACGUAGGGUGCAAGCGUUAAUCGGAAUUACUGGGCGUAAAGCGUGCGCAGGCGGUUUGCUAAGACCGAUGUGAAAUCCCCGGGCUCAACCUGGGAACUGCAUUGGUGACUGGCAGGCUAGAGUAUGGCAGAGGGGGGUAGAAUUCCACGUGUAGCAGUGAAAAUGCGUAGAGAUGUGGAGGAAUACCGAUGGCGAAGGCNCCCGGCCCAAUGAACUGACGCUCAUGCACGAAAAGCGUGGGGAGCAAAACAGGAUUAGAUACCCUGGUAGUCCACGCCCUAAAACGAUGUCAACUAGUUGUUGGGGAUUCAUUUCCUUAGUAACGUAGCUAACGCGUGAAGUUGACCGCCUGGGGAGUACGGUCG
rnacentral:rRNA from 1 species